AAUGGGUCAGCGACUUAUAUUCUGUAGCAAGGUUAACCGAAUAGGGGAGCCGAAGGGAAACCGAGUCUUAACUGGGCGUUAAGUUGCAGGGUAUAGACCCGAAACCCGGUGAUCUAGCCAUGGGCAGGUUGAAGGUUGGGUAACACUAACUGGAGGACCGAACCGACUAAUGUUGAAAAAUUAGCGGAUGACUUGUGGCUGGGGGUGAAAGGCCAAUCAAACCGGGAGAUAGCUGGUUCUCCCCGAAAGCUAUUUAGGUAGCGCCUCGUGAAUUCAUCUCCGGGGGUAGAGCACUGUUUCGGCAAGGGGGUCAUCCCGACUUACCAACCCGAUGCAAACUGCGAAUACCGGAGAAUGUUAUCACGGGAGACACACGGCGGGUGCUAACGUCCGUCGUGAAGAGGGAAACAACCCAGACCGCCAGCUAAGGUCCCAAAGUCAUGGUUAAGUGGGAAACGAUGUGGGAAGGCCCAGACAGCCAGGAUGUUGGCUUAGAAGCAGCCAUCAUUUAAAGAAAGCGUAAUAGCUCACUGGUCGAGUCGGCCUGCGCGGAAGAUGUAACGGGGCUAAACCAUGCACCGAAGCUGCGGCAGCGACACUAUGUGUUGUUGGGUAGGGGAGCGUUCUGUAAGCCUGUGAAGGUGGCCUGUGAGGGUUGCUGGAGGUAUCAGAAGUGCGAAUGCUGACAUAAGUAACGAUAAAGCGGGUGAAAAGCCCGCUCGCCGGAAGACCAAGGGUUCCUGUCCAACGUUAAUCGGGGCAGGGUGAGUCGACCCCUAAGGCGAGGCCGAAAGGCGUAGUCGAUGGGAAACAGGUUAAUAUUCCUGUACUUGGUGUUACUGCGAAGGGGGGACGGAGAAGGCUAUGUUGGCCGGGCGACGGUUGUCCCGGUUUAAGCGUGUAGGCUGGUUUUCCAGGCAAAUCCGGAAAAUCAAGGCUGAGGCGUGAUGACGAGGCACUACGGUGCUGAAGCAACAAAUGCCCUGCUUCCAGGAAAAGCCUCUAAGCAUCAGGUAACAUCAAAUCGUACCCCAAACCGACACAGGUGGUCAGGUAGAGAAUACCAAGGCGCUUGAGAGAACUCGGGUGAAGGAACUAGGCAAAAUGGUGCCGUAACUUCGGGAGAAGGCACGCUGAUACGUAGGUGAAGUCCCU
rnacentral:rRNA from 1 species